AUUGAACGCUGGCGGCAUGCCUUACACAUGCAAGUCGAACGGCAGCACGGGUGCUUGCACCUGGUGGCGAGUGGCGAACGGGUGAGUAAUAUAUCGGAACGUACCUUAUUGUGGGGGAUAACGCAGCGAAAGCUGUGCUAAUACCGCAUAAUCCCUAAGGGGGAAAGCGGGGGACCGUAAGGCCUCGCGCAAUUAGAGCGGCCGAUACCUGAUUAGCUAGUUGGUGAGGUAAAGGCUCACCAAGGCAACGAUCAGUAGCUGGUCUGAGAGGACGACAGGCCACACUGGGACUGAGACACGGCCCAGACUCCUACGGGAGGCAGCAGUGGGGAAUCUUGCGCAAUGGGCGGAAGCCUGACGCAGCAACGCCGCGUGCGGGAAGAAGGCCCUAGGGUCGUAAACCGCUUUCAGGGGGGACGAAGCUUCCGGGGUUAAUAGCCUACGGGGUGACGGUACUCCCAGAAGAAGGUCCGGCUAACUACGUGCCAGCCGCCGCCGUAA
rnacentral:rRNA from 1 species